rnacentral:rRNA from 1 species
GACGAACCGUGCGAACGUUGUUCGGAAUCACUGGGCUUAAAGGGCGCGUAGGCGGGCGACCAAGUCGGAGGUGAAAGCCUGCAGCUCAACUGCAGAAGUGCCCCCGAUACUGGCCGCCUCGAGGGAGGUAGGGGCGUGCGGAACUUCCGGUGGAGCGGUGAAAUGCGUAGAUAUCGGAAGGAACACCGGUGGCGAAAGCGGCGCGCUGGACCUCUUCUGACGCUGAGGCGCGAAAGCUAGGGGAGCAAACGGG